UUCUUAAAAACCCAUAAACACUAAUCCGUUCCCUUCCGUAUCAGUGCCCUUUUUCUCUCUCCUCUCCUCUCUCUUUCUCUCUCGUUCUCAUAUUCAUAUUUUUUCUCAUCAUUUUCCCUACCCAUUUAAAUCCGUUUUAAUCUGAUCUCCAUCCUCUUUUCACACCAUAAUAAUAAUAUAUCAAAUCUUCAAUUCCUCCCCGAAAAUGGCGAAACGCGAUUCGAUUUGGAUUUUAUUCGCGCUCGUAAUUUCGCUCCGAUUCGAUCCUUCUAGAAGCAUCGAAGGUGCGCGAGCGAACGACACGACGCUUCUCGUCCCCAUGACGCUUCUCCCUCACGCCGUUUCCAUUGGAGCAGUUUGUAUUGAUGGGAGCGCCCCUGCAUAUCACCUUGACGGAGGAUUCGGCGCCGGCGCUCGCAAUUGGUUGCUACAGUUUGAGGGGGGAGGGUGGUGCAAUGACGUGGCAUCGUGUGCGGCGCGGGCGACGACAGGGAGGGGGUCCACGCUGUACAAGAGAGAGCUGGAGCCGUUCCUCGGGAUCCUCAGUAACGACCCUACGAUGAACCCAGAUUUCUAUAAUUGGAACCGCGUAAAGCUUCGAUACUGCGACGGAGCCUCUUUUACAGGAGAUUCUGAAUACUAUAAUGGAACUUCGAUACUUUACUUCAGAGGCCAAAGGAUCUGGAAUGCAAUUAUUAGUGAUCUUUUCUCCAAAGGGCUAAUGCAAGCCGAAAAGGCACUGCUUUCGGGCUGUUCGGCUGGGGGUUUGGCUACUUUUUUCCACUGCGAUGAUCUUGCACAGCGACUUCCUGCGACAGCGACGGUUAAAUGCAUGAGCGAUGCGGGAUUCUUCCUCGACACGAAAGAUAUAUCUGGAAACAACACUAUUAGGCCAUUCUUUAGCAGCUUAGUCACUCUACAGGGGGUGCAAAAAAAUCUAAACAAGGACUGUUUGACUUCUUAUGAUUAUGCCUACAAGUGUUUCUUUCCCCAAUACGCACUACCAUUCAUCAGAACGCCAUAUUUCAUCUUAAAUUCAGCAUAUGAUACAUAUCAGUUCCAUCAUAUAUUUGUGCCACCCUCAGCAGAUCCAUAUGGGCGAUGGCGGCGAUGCAAGUCCAAUCCUCAAGCCUGUAGUCCACUCCAAAUGACUAUUCUCCAAGGUUUUAGAAUUGAGAUGCUCAUUGCACUGAGACCUUUUAGUGGAUCAAGAAAUGGCGGAUUCUUAAUAGAUUCUUGCUUCACUCAUUGUCAGAGUGAAUCACAAGACACAUGGUUCGCACCAAAUUCUCCUAGAUUGCACAACAAGACUAUUGCAGAGGCAGUUGGUGAUUGGUAUUUUGAGAGGGCAGUGGUGAAAGAAGUUGACUGCCCUUAUCCUUGCGACUCAAAUUGUCCAAACCAAACAUCACCAAGUGAGAUGAUUAUAGGUCUAUAACUGAGAUGAGAGAAAUUAAAUUUGUGAAGUUGCGAGGAUGUCAAAUACAAGCAGUUCCAUCAUUGUCGUAAUAAGCUAAUUGAGCGUAGAUUGAAGGAAACAAAGCCUGGUGAAGGGUUCCGUGUUUCUCCUCUUGGGUUUUUGUCCAUCAACUUACUGCUACUGAUCCACAUUCAAUUGAAUUAUUUAAUUUGACUGUAAAUAAAGGUUAGGAUAUUAAGUUGAGCUCGAUGCAAUUUUAAAUUUAUCAGAUUCAUUGGUUGCUGAUAAUGACAGGUGGUUUUUGAGAAAUAUUCUAGGUAGAAAGAAAAAUUUUCUUUUAGUAAUUUUAAUCUCAAGUGGUCUUAUUUAA